rnacentral:lncRNA from 1 species
AAGAGUUAAAAUUUAUUCCUUUCAAGAAGAUACUGACCCAAGAUUAUUCCCCAACGCCCAAGGUGAGCUUUCAAUACGACUAUAGCUGGAUUAUUAUUCCCAACAUAGAUUCGAAGAAGAAUUCAUCUUGAAACCCUUAGAUCAUCUCUUAGAAUGCAAGAGGUGAAGAACUAGAGUUUCUUCAAGAAGGUAAUCACUGUUGCUUUUACUAUUAAAAUUAGAAUUUUUACAACAUAUUAUGACUAUAGAAUGUACGAUUGAUGCAGUUUAAGGGUAGAAUAACUAUAACAAGCUGGCCUGUCGUUCUGCGUAUUUGAAUCGCGUUUCCUUAUUUGAUGCUUCUUGUAUAUGUGUUUCUUGUUUUAUGACUUGCCGGGAUGAUUGAUUUGGUUACGAGAAGGUUUGAGAAGGAUUUGAAACACUUAGUCUCCUUUUGGAAGCUUAAAUUAUAAGAGCUGAUCAGAGUUUGACUUUUAUGUAAUAGCCUCGGAUUGGUGAUUUGAGUGCCAAUAAGUUCAUAUGGUAAUUUUGGUCUUGGGCGUAGGUUCAAAUUUGGAUUUGGGGAUUCCAAGGUUGAUUUGGCUCUAUUUGGCAGAAGUUAGAAAUUUGAAGGUUUUGAAUGUUCAUAGGUUUGACCGGGAGUUGACUUUGAGGCUAUUGGGUUUGAAUUUUAGUUUCGGAAGUUGAAAUAAGUUGAAUUUGGAUUUGUGUUCAAAUUUGGGUUUAACUCGGAUUCGGCAAAAAUGUUCGGGACUCCCUAAACUUGGCAACUUUUGUUUAGUUCCCGCAUAAACUUCACGUGGCUUUAAUACUCUUGAAAAUUUGAUAGUCUUGACCCUCUCCACCCCCCACCCCACCCCGAUGUUGAUGUGGCAAAGAGUGUGAAUAGCUCUCUUUUAGGCGCGUGGGAGGGAUAAAAAUAAAAAAAUCAGCCUUUCAGGUGGGGUAUUUUUUAAAUAUUAAUUGCUACAUAAUCAAAUAUAAUAAUUUAUUUGUUCAAAUUGUAUUUUCGUUUGUUUCUUUUUAAUAUACAUUACAUAUUUUAUCUCAAUCGUAUUUUUUAGAUACAACGAAUAUAUGUUUUAACUUUAUAUUUCUCAUUUUUUUCGCUUCCAAAUCUACAAAAGUUAGUUAAAACUCCAUUUAUUUUAGCCAAAUAAAAAGAAGAUUUAGCCAAAGUAAUAAAGUUCAAAUGGUGUAUUUUCUACAAAAAGAAAAAAUAUUGUGCAUUUUUAUGUUUAUUUGAUGCAAUGACUAUUUAUUUAAACUAUGCAUUUUUUCUUUUUUGAUUCAAUUAUUCGCAAAUAUUUGGUCGGAAUUUACUAUUUUAGCUAAAAUAUUCAUUUAGCCAAUACAUGAAGUUCCAAGAACGUAUUCUUUUAGAUGCAAUGAUAAUAUAUUAUAACUGUGUAUUUCUUCUUUUCCUGGCCAAAUAUAUAUAUAAGUAACUUGAUUAAAAUGUCAUUAUUUUUAGCCAAAUAAAAAUUAUAAUAAAAAUAACAUUGUUUUAUUUUUAUUUUUUUACAGAUUUUGGCACGAGAAAAUUAUCUAGAUAGUUGAUGGACUUAAAAAUAUAAAAAUAUAGUAUAUUUUAUUGUAAAAACAUUUCACAUAGACAAAAAAAAAUUCAUACGGCAGCACGUGUGUCAUACUUUCAUGGAUUGUCAGCAUAGAGGGGGCUCGAGACUUUGAAAUUGUCAAGUUCAAAGGGGUAUUAAAGACCACGUGAAGUUUAAGGGAGAACUAAACAAACGUUGUCAGGUUCGGGGGGGUGGGUCCCGAACUAUUCUGUCAUCCGGAUUGGUUAGGCUUGAACUGAGCAUUUAGUUUGAAGUUUGGAAUAUGAUUAACUUAAGAGAAGCUUAACAUGUAUUUUGAUCAUCGAUUCUUGGUUUUGAUGUUAGUCGUGGUGUUUUGAACAUUCGGACAAGUUUGGAUAAGGUAUUGGGACUGGUUAGUGUGAUUGGAUGGGAUACCGACUGGGGGGCUCGAGUGUGUUUCCGAGUGGUUUCGGAUCAAUUCUUCUUUGUCUUGGAUUGCUGGUUUUCUGAUGUAUUGAAGUGCUUCGCGAUCACGGAACUAGUCUAGCGAUCGUGGAGAAGAGGGAGCAGAAGGAUUUUCCUCUUUGCAUUCGCGAAGGAGGUAUCACGUCCGCGGAGAGCAGGGAGCAGAAGCAGUGCGAUCGCGUGAGGAGGACACAUUCGCAAAGGAGUGAUGCCAGGGGAAGGAAUGCCUUCACAUUCGUGAAGAUAGGCUCGCGUUCGCGUAGUCUCAGCAGGUGGUCGGACAUCGCGUUCACAAAAGGGUUUCGCGUUCAAGAAGGAGGGGAAGCAAUUGGUCAAGAAUUUGGCCUUCGCGAUCGCGGUGCGAGUCCUGCAAUCGCGAAGUGUAUAAUUGGGCAUAGCAUUUAAAGAUAUAAUUUCAAAAUUUUUCCCAUUCACUCAUAUUUUAAACCCUAGGCUUCGAGAGGUGGAGACUUUGGAGAGCAAGUUCACUAAUACUUGAGGUAAGCAAUUUUCACUUUGAUUUGACUUUAUAUCAUUAUUCUCCAUAAAUUUCUACACCUAAGAGCUUGGAUUUUAAAGUAAUAAUUGGGGGGUUUUGGCAAAACUUUUGGAAAGUGGAUAAUUGAGAUUUGAGCUCCGGGUUAAAGUCGGUUUUGGAUCAAAACUUAUAUAUUUGGACUCGUGUUGGAAUGGGUAUUCGGGAUUUAUGAGUUUUUUCGGGUUUUGGGGGUACGGUCCUGAUUUGACUUUUUUGUUGACUUUGUUUAUUUGUAUAAGAUCGAAACUUUAUUAUUUGAGAUUAUUUUCAAUGUCUUUAUUUGAUAUUAUUGAGUUAUUUUUUUUACUAUAUUUGGGUCAGUUGGAGUUGAAUUUAGAUAGUUAGACAUUUGCUUGAUAUGAGGUUGUUGGCCGGAUGUAAGUCUCUUGUAUAUCCUUGUAAGAGGGAAUUCUCCUCAUAGGUAACUUGAUUGUUGUUUGAUUUAUGAUUUAGGAGCCACAUAUAUGUGAGGUGAUGAGUGUAUAUGCGUAAAAGGUUUUGGACCGUAUCAGGUAUUUGUUGACUUGAAUUGUGCUUUGUCGAAUUAUGUGAAGUUGCUACCCAUGUUCAAAUUAAUUCUACUACUACUCGAUAAUUUAUAUUUAUAAUUUAGGAGCAUGCCUAGGGUUAUAACUUAAUGAUUUGACAUAAGGGUUAUAUUGCCAUACAAAAUUUAUUGUAAAUUUAUAGUCAUAUACUUGCUUUAUUUGCUCCAUGAUUUCUAUGAUUUUGAUGGCCUAAUUAGCUCAUGAUAAUAAUAUAAUUAAGCUUCAAAUAUGCUAAUAGCUUAUUGAGUCAUAGUGAUAAAAUGAGUUAGACGGUUUGCCAUAGCUAUUACUUAGCCAUUUGAGCUUUUAUCUGCAAUUUUAUUGUCAUAUAUUGUGCCCCUUUAUUAUAUCGUUCCUUACACGUAUGCAUGAGUAAAAAGUGGUUAUUGAGAAAAGUUGAGGAUUUUAGCACUAUGGGCAAUCAAGUAGAUAUUGAUACUAAUUAUUGGAUUGAUGAUGUUAUGAUUUAGAUCGGGUUGCGCUCUGCAAAACAUGAUUGGUGAUAUUUAAUUAUAAAAUGACCGAUGCUUGGAUUAUGGAUCCAUCCCUCCACAGUUAGAUGAGUACCCAUGUUACCUUGAGCUCCAUGAGCGUAGGCCCCCGUGAUUCUUUUGGUGUCUGUUGGACACGUGGCCUAUGUUAGGCACAUGAAUUUUGCUGUGAGUUGUUAAGGAAAGGAUCAUGAGCAUGCUUAUUUAUAUUUGUUUAGACUUAUGCUAUGAAUUAAAGUAAUUAUUGUUGACUAGUAUCAGUUUUACUCGAGAGUUGAGGUUACUUAUUAUUUUAUUUGAUUAUGGUUAUUUGAAAAGUAUGCCUAAAU